rnacentral:rRNA from 1 species
UGAACGCUGGCGGCGUGCCUAAUACAUGCAAGUCGAGCGAACAGACGAGGAGCUUGCUCCUCUGACGUUAGCGGCGGACGGGUGAGUAACACGUGGAUAACCUACCUAUAAGACUGGGAUAACUUCGGGAAACCGGAGCUAAUACCGGAUAAUAUAUUGAACCGCAUGGUUUAAUAGUGAAAGACGGUUUUGCUGUCACUUAUAGAUGGAUCCGCGCCGCAUUAGCUAGUUGGUAAGGUAACGGCUUACCAAGGCAACGAUGCGUAGCCGACCUGAGAGGGUGAUCGGCCACACUGGAACUGAGACACGGUCCAGACUCCUACGGGAGGCAGCAGUAGGGAAUCUUCCGCAAUGGGCGAAAGCUUGACGGAGCAACGCCGCGUGAGUGAUGAAGGUCUUCGGAUCGUAAAACUCUGUUAUUAGGGAAGAACAAAUGUGUAAGUAACUAUGCACGUCUUGACGGUACCUAAUCAGAAAGCCACGGCUAACUACGUG